rnacentral:rRNA from 1 species
AUUGAACGCUGGCGGCAUGCUUUACACAUGCAAGUCGAACGGUAACAGGUUAAGCUGACGAGUGGCGAACGGGUGAGUAAUGCAUCGGAACGUGCCCGAUCGUGGGGGAUAACGCAGCGAAAGCUGCGCUAAUACCGCAUACGAUCUGAGGAUGAAAGCGGGGGACCGUAAGGCCUCGCGCGAUCGGAGCGGCCGAAGUCAGAUUAGGUAGUUGGUGGGGUAAAGGCCCACCAAGCCGACGAUCUGUAGCUGGUCUGCGAGGACGACCAGCCACACCGGGACUGAGAAACGGGCCAAACUCCUAAGGGAGGCAGCAGUGGGGAAUUUUGGACAAUGGGCGAAAGCCUGAUCCAGCAAUGCCGCGUGCAGGAAGAAGGCCUUCGGGUUGUAAACUGCUUUUGUACGGAGCGAAAAGGCCCUUUCUAAUACAGGGGGCUCAUGACGGUACCGUAAGAAUAAGCACCGGCUAACUACGUGCCAGCCGCCGCCGUAAUAC